rnacentral:rRNA from 1 species
GAGUUUGAUCCUGGCUCAGAUUGAACGCUGGCGGCAGGCCUAACACAUGCAAGUCGAGCGGUAGAGAGAAGCUUGCUUCUCUUGAGAGCGGCGGACGGGUGAGUAAUGCCUAGGAAUCUGCCUGGUAGUGGGGGAUAACGCUCGGAAACGGACGCUAAUACCGCAUACGUCCUACGGGAGAAAGCAGGGGACCUUCGGGCCUUGCGCUAUCAGAUGAGCCUAGGUCGGAUUAGCUAGUUGGUGAGGUAAUGGCUCACCAAGGCGACGAUCCGUAACUGGUCUGAGAGGAUGAUCAGUCACACUGGAACUGAGACACGGUCCAGACUCCUACGGGGGGCAGCAGUGGGGAAUAUUGGACAAUGGGCGAAAGCCUGAUCCAGCCAUGCCGCGUGUGUGAAGAAGGUCUUCGGAUUGUAAAGCACUUUAAGUUGGGAGGAAGGGCAGUAAAUUAAUACUUUGCUGUUUUGACGUUACCGACAGAAUAAGCACCGGCUAACUCUGUGCCAGCAG